rnacentral:misc_RNA from 1 species
CAGAGUUGCAAAACUCCCACAAGCCAUCGCGAAUCUUACCCGUACGGUUGCCUCGGCGCUGGCGGUCCGGAAGGCCCUCGGGCCCCCCGGAUCCUCGGGUCUCCCGCUCGCGGGAGGCUGCCCGCCGGAGUGCCGAAACCAAACUCUUGAUAUUUUAUGUCUCUCUGAGUAAACUUUUAAAUAAGUCA